AGAAAUUAGAGAGAGAGAGAGAACUAGAGAAAGAGGGGUGGCCGGUGGCGGCAUUUGGCGGCGAUUUGCGGUGGCCGGUGGUGGCCGGAGGUGGUUGGACUUGUGAGAUUCAACCUGGAACCAAUUAUUGAUGCUACGAACACAAUGAAUGAAAGGGUUGGAAUCACAUUAGCACGGACUCAAAUGCGGAAGGCUACGGGUCAAGAAGAUGCAAGGAAACAAACACGAAUACAGACGCUUGAGGUUACACAGAUCAUUACCAUUCAUCACGAAGGAUAAGGGGGCAAAGAUCGAGUUAUAGAACAUGGAUUGUAUGGAAGGGUGGUCACUUAGUUUGUAUUCGCAUGUUAAAUUUGGUACAUUAAUUAAAGAUGAAUGAUGUAAUUCUUUUAAAGGAAUCGUUUUAAAUGGUUUUCAAGUAUGUUAGAUUAUUAAAAAAAGAAAGAAAUUUUGAAGUUCA